AUUGAACGCUAGCGGGAUGCCUUACACAUGCAAGUCGAACGGAGUGGCGAACGGGUGAGUAAUGUAUCGGAACGUGCCCAGUAGCGGGGGAUAACUACGCGAAAGCGUAGCUAAUACCGCAUACUAUUUGAGCGGCCGAUAUCGGAUUAGCUAGUGGGUGGGGUAACGGCUGACCAGGUCGAGGAUCCGUAGCUGGUUUGAGUGGACGACCAGCCAAAUGGGGACUGAGGCACGGCCCAGGCUCCUACGGGAGGCAGCAGUGGGGAAUUUUGGACAAUGGGGGAAACCCUGAUGCAGCCAGCCCGCGUGUGCAGUGAAGGCCUUCGGGUUGUAAAGCACUUUUGGCAGGAAAGCGGUACCUGCAGAAUAAGCACCGGCUAACUACGUGCCAGCAGCCACGGUAAUAC
rnacentral:rRNA from 1 species